rnacentral:rRNA from 1 species
CCCGCCGGCGACCGGCGCACGGGUGAGUAACACGUAUGAAACCUGCCCGUAGCAGGGGGAUAAGCGGAAGAAAUUCCGUCUAAUACCGCGUAACAACCCAUGGAGGCAUCUCUGUGGGUUUAAAGGAAGCGAUUCCGGCUACGGAUGGUCAUGCGUCGCAUUAGCUUGUUGGCGGGGUAACGGCCCACCAAGGCGACGAUGCGUAGGGGUUCUGAGAGGAAGGCCCCCCACACUGGGACUGAGACACGGCCCAGACUCCUACGGGAGGCAGCAG